rnacentral:rRNA from 1 species
UACGUAGGGUGCAAGCGUUGUCCGGAAUUACUGGGUUUAAAGGGUGCGUAGGCGGCCUUUUAAGUCAGCGGUGAAAGUCUGUGGCUCAACCUUAAAAUUGCAGUUGAUACUGGCGUCCUUGAGUGCGGUUGAGGUGUGCGGAAUUCGUGGUGUAGCGGUGAAAUGCUUAGAUAUCACGAAGAACUCCGAUUGCGAAGGCAGCACACUAAGCCGUAACUGACGUUCAUGCUCGAAAGUGUGGGUAUCAAACAGG